rnacentral:lncRNA from 1 species
GGAAAAAAAAAAGAAUUGAAGAAGCAAAAAUAAAUAUUAAAGCACGUAAGAAUUAAAUAUCACCUAUUCAAAUAGCAAUUAUGCCGUUGAAAACAAGAUCACCACACCUGUACAAGAAAAGACAACCAAGCCUAAAACAUCUGUUUGGAUCCACCUGCCAAGCACCUGUUCUGCUGUUUCAAUGCCAUUUGAUUGCUGGAGAUGUAGAGGCUCUUGUGAGGUUUCUUGCACAGUUGUUUGCUUUGUGCUGAUGGAAGAUGCUGCAGAGUCAGGUCUUUAUCCACAGACCAGUUUCCACACCGGGAACUGCGGGAUAAAUCAGCCCAUGCUCCUCAUCAUGGAGAAUUCAGCAGCUGCUUGGGAUCAUCUCCCAGAGAUGAAGGAGAUGUGGAAGUCAAACUGAGAGGCUGCAGCAUCCCCUCUGCCUCUUCCCAAGGGGCUGCUGCAGCCUGGAUCUCAUCUUGUCUUCUAGUAACAUCUUCCAGAUUUGUUUUAAACUGAUUAGGCACUGCUGAAGAAUCAGCUUCUCUCCCCCGGACAGUACAAAGCCAAGUGUUGACAGAGCUGGCUCGUGGCCAUGGGCUCCGUGAUGACGCAGCAUCGCAUCUUUUGACAGCCCCCAUUCCGUUUGGGGCACUCUGAAACAUUCACACACCCUGAUGAAUUGAAAUAAAAUAAAUUACAGAGUGACA